AAUGAACGCUGGCGGCGUGCUUAACACAUGCAAGUCGCACGAGAACGCUUCAGCUUGCUGAGGCUAGUAAAGUGGCGCACGGGUGAGUAACGCGUGGGUAAUCUACCCCUGAAUUGGGGAUAACAUUGCGAAAGCGAUGCUAAUACCGGAUAACAUCUUAGAAACCCCGGUUUUUAAGAUCAAAGGUGGCCUCUACAUGUAAGCUACUGUUUGGGGAUGAGCCCGCGUACCAUUAGCUUGUUGGUAGGGUAACGGCCUACCAAGGCUACGAUGGUUAGCUGGUCUGAGAGGAUGAUCAGCCACACUGGAACUGACACACGGUCCAGACUCCUACGGGAGGCAGCAGUGAGGAAUUUUGCGCAAUGGGGGAAACCCUGACGCAGCAACGCCGCGUGAGUGAUGAAGGCUUUCGAGUCGUAAAGCUCUGUCAAGUGGGAAGAACCCGCAUGGUGCCAAUAUCGCCAUGCGCUGACGGUACCACUGAAGGAAGCACCGGCUAACUCCGUGCCAGCAGCCGCGGUAAUACGGGGGGUGCAAGCGUUAUUCGGAAUUACUGGGCGUAAAGAGCGCGUAGGCGGUCUUUUAAGUCAAGUGUGAAAGCCCGAGGCUCAACCUCGGAAGUGCACUUGAAACUAAGGGAC
rnacentral:rRNA from 1 species